GAAUGCUGACAUAAGUAACGAUAAAGCGGGUGAAAAGCCCGCUCGCCGGAAGACCAAGGGUUCCUGUCCAACGUUAAUCGGGGCAGGGUGAGUCGACCCCUAAGGCGAGGCCGAAAGGCGUAGUCGAUGGGAAACGGGUUAAUAUUCCCGUACUUGGUGUUACUGCGAAGGGGGGACGGAGAAGGCUAUGUUGGCCGGGCGACGGUUGUCCCGGUUUAAGCGUGUAGGUGUGUGUUCCAGGUAAAUCCGGUUCACUUUAACACUGAGGCGUGACGACGAGGCACUACGGUGCUGAAGCAACAAAUGCCCUGCUUCCAGGAAAAGCCUCUAAGCAUCAGGUAACAUCAAAUCGUACCCCAAACCGACACAGGUGGUCAGGUAGAGAAUACCAAGGCGCUUGAGAGAACUCGGGUGAAGGAACUAGGCAAAAUGGUGCCGUAACUUCGGGAGAAGGCACGCUGACACGUAGGUGAAGUGAUUUACUCAUGGAGCUGAAGUCAGUCGAAGAUACCAGCUGGCUGCAACUGUUUAUUAAAAACACAGCACUGUGCAAACACGAAAGUGGACGUAUACGGUGUGACGCCUGCCCGGUGCCGGAAGGUUAAUUGAUGGGGUCAGCGCAAGCGAAGCUCCUGAUCGAAGCCCCGGUAAACGGCGGCCGUAACUAUAACGGUCCUAAGGUAGCGAAAUUCCUUGUCGGGUAAGUUCCGACCUGCACGAAUGGCGUAAUGAUGGCCAGGCUGUCUCCACCCGAGACUCAGUGAAAUUGAACUCGCUGUGAAGAUGCAGUGUACCCGCGGCAAGACGGAAAGACCCCGUGAACCUUUACUAUAGCUUGACACUGAACAUUGAGCCUUGAUGUGUAGGAUAGGUGGGAGGCUUUGAAGUGUGGACGCCAGUCUGCAUGGAGCCGACCUUGAAAUACCACCCUUUAAUGUUUGAUGUUCUAACGUGGACCCGUUACCCGGGUUGCGGACAGUGUCUGGUGGGUAGUUUGACUGGGGCGGUCUCCUCCUAAAGAGUAACGGAGGAGCACGAAGGUUGGCUAAUCCUGGUCGGACAUCAGGAGGUUAGUGCAAUGGCAUAAGCCAGCUUGACUGCGAGCGUGACGGCGCGAGCAGGUGCGAAAGCAGGUCAUAGUGAUCCGGUGGUUCUGAAUGGAAGGGCCAUCGCUCAACGGAUAAAAGGUACUCCGGGGAUAACAGGCUGAUACCGCCCAAGAGUUCAUAUCGACGGCGGUGUUUGGCACCUCGAUGUCGGCUCAUCACAUCCUGGGGCUGAAGUAGGUCCCAAGGGUAUGGCUGUUCGCCAUUUAAAGUGGUACGCGAGCUGGGUUUAGAACGUCGUGAGACAGUUCGGUCCCUAUCUGCCGUGGGCGCUGGAGAACUGAGGGGGGCUGCUCCUAGUACGAGAGGACCGGAGUGGACGCAUCACUGGUGUUCGGGUUGUCAUGCCAAUGGCACUGCCCGGUAGCUAAAUGCGGAAGAGAUAAGUGCUGAAAGCAUCUAAGCACGAAACUUGCCCCGAGAUGAGUUCUCCCUGAGACUUAAAGUCUCCUGAAGGAACGUUGAAGACGACGACGUUGAUAGGCCGGGUGUGUAAGCGCAGCGAUGCGUUGAGCUAACCGGUACUAAUGAACCGUGAGGCUUA
rnacentral:rRNA from 1 species